GAUCGCAACCGACAGGCCAGAGCUAGCUCAAUUAAUUCCCCAACAAACAGGGAAAAUUACACAUGCAUGAUGCAUUGAUGCAACAAGUCUCUCUCUAUAUUACAAUUUUUAUCGAAAAAGCUAAUCAAUUCACAGCUCAAAUUUUACAUAAAGUUGGGCAUGGCCUCAAUGACAAUGCAUUUUCUGUGCGGAGAUCUUUUAUUGAUCGUACAAUUAAUUUUCAUGUUGCUUUCCCACCUUUUUGCUUCUUUUCUUCUAGUGCAGUAGCUUCAUUUAACAUGUCAGCCGCAUCAUUAUGCAUAUCGAGUUUGGCAAGGGCGACAGACUGCAUGUAGAAGGCUGUGGGCCACUCUGGAUAUACACACUGAGCUUGCAUUGCAUCUCGAAGGGCAACAUCUGGCUGAUCACAUAAUAGAUAACAAAGACUGCGCCGUGCAAAAACAGUAGGGGAAACCAUGGUUCCCACAUCUAUGAACUGGGAAUAACAGUCAAUGGCAGUUUUAAAAUCUUUAUCACGGAAGGCAAAGUCUCCUCGCUUCCUUGACUCCAGCAUAUCUCUCAUUUGCUGUGUCCACUCUUGGAAAGAUAACUCGUUUGUUCCUUCAUCAUCUUUGUAGUGAGUCAUAACCAAGAUCUGAUGAAUUGCUGUGAGGUCCAUCCGUGAACAGGCCUCGCCCAUUGGUGAGAGGGGACGCUGAGGUGUUGGUGGGGUUUCCUCGUGUUUUGAAAUUCCAAGCAUUACAUAUGACGGAACAUCAGGUUUCAUUUGCAGGGAAGCCAAUGUUCCAACAAGAACCUUUGUACUAGGCCGUUCUCUAGGUUCAUAUUGCAAACAUCGAGAGGCAAGAUCAACAACCACAGUUGCUUCAUCUGUGGAGAAGUGUCCCUCCAAAUGUGAAUCCAUUAACAGAAUUAUGUUUUUUCCCCUUAUCAUAUCCAGAGCAUGACUUGGAGGAAUAUGCUUUCCACUUAGCAAAUCCAGAAGAACGGUACCAAAACUGUAAAUUACGCUUUCAGGGGUGACCCUUCCUAACAAAACAAUUUAUGGCAAAAACAAAAAGUAUCAAGUCAAAUAAAAACAAGAAAAUGAUCACAGAAUUUGAAGAAAUAUAUAAUUCUCUCUCCACAAUAAUAUUCCAGCAAAAGAGUUAGUCAUGCAUUUUAAAAUGGUUAUUGCAAUGCAUUUUAAAUAAAUGAUGAAAUACAUGACAAAUCAUUUCAAAUAAGUGAACAUCAUACCACCAAAAAAAAAAAACACAAGAUAAUAAAAAGGAUGUAGCAAAUCCUAAGUUUUCCAUUCUCUUUGGAAAAGCUAAACUUGGAAGAGAGAAUUCCAUGACACAAACUAGAAUUCACGGAGUAUUCAUCAACACCAAAAUUGGCUUAAAUAAAGUUGAAAAUUUGUCAACCGUUGGGCAAAAAAGAGUUCUCAAGCUAAUUAAAAUUUUAAUGGCUUCACUGUCUUUUUACAGGGUCCAAUCAUGUAUGUGAUGCAGAAAAAUUUCCACCUGAGCCUAGAGGAAGGGUGAAGAGAAAUCGUUUGGUAUAUACCAAAAGGGACAAGAAGAAUUUGGAGGAUAAGCCAGGGAACCAAAGCACAAGUUUUUUAGAGGGAAUCUCAGCACCAAAGGACCAGCUCAGUACCAGUUUGUUAUAGGGAAUUUCAGCAGCCAUAUGACAGCAGCAACAUGAAGAAAUACAUGGGGUAGAAGAGGGUAGAGAGAGAAUCAUGAGAACUGUAUUUCCUUCUUGCUUGUAGUAGCAUGAGGCAGUAGAGUGCUGCUGGGUACAAUUCUCAUGAUCCUCUCUCU
rnacentral:misc_RNA from 1 species